rnacentral:rRNA from 1 species
CACGUAGGAUCCGAGCGUUAUCCGGAUUUACUGGGCGUAAAGCGCGUGCAGGUGGUCUGUUAAGUUGGAUGUUAAAUCUCACGGCUUAACCGGGAGAUGUCGUUCAAAACUGGCAGACUAGAGGACGGUAGAGGAAGGUGGAAUUCCGGGUGUAGUGGUGAAAUGCGUAGAUAUCCGGAGGAACAUCAGUGGCGAAGGCGACCUUCUGGACCGCUCCUGACACUCCAACGCGAAAGCUAGGGGAGCAAACGGG